CUCCAAUCAGCAGCUUGGAUUAUCUUGCCCAUGUGAAUUUCGGGAUUAUGAUCCAUUCAUGGAGGAUCUAACAGAUGAACGGAUUGAAUUUAUAGUGCUCAAGCCCACGGAGAGCACGUGUUGACCCAACGCAAUCAUGUGGAAAGCACCAAGGAGUGGUGCCUUGCUAGUGGAUAGCUCGUGAGACACGUGGCGCAUGGAUGGCCGAGAUUGAGGGUUGGCAUGUAAGCAUGCAAGUGCCAACGUUGCUGUAGAAACCAAACUCUUCAUGUUUUCAAGCGUUGGAGGUGGGAGGCGUUGGUCCAAUACAUCCAUCAGCAGUAUAUCUUGGCCACCAGACGUUGCCAAGGAUGAGAGGAGAUCUCCAGGAUGCCUUCCCAUUAUCACUUCAAGUGAUACAACACCAAAGCUAUAUACGUCGCAUUUCUCAGUAACUCUCAUUGUGUAAGCAAACUCUGCACCAAACAUAAAAAAUAAGAUCAUGUUUCAUAACCUACAUCCAUUUGUACUUGAUGCUAUGUCUAGUUCUGCUCAGACCUGAGUCUGGUGAGACAGCCAUUGUAUGCAGCGCUUAAACCACCCAAGAACAUUUUAUGUGUUUGACAUUUACCACGUCCAUCAGGUGGGCUUUCUUGUA